AUUAUACCCUAUAGGUUACAGAUGCUGGAAUGAUAUGUAAAUCAAAGUUCCGGCGCCUUAGGAUGGAUGUGCGGCCGAUUAGGUGUUGGUGGGGUAAUGGCCCAACAAGCCAGUAAUCGGUACGGGUUGUGGGAGCAAGAGCCCGGAGUUGGAUUUUGAGACACGAAUGCAGGCCGUACGGGGCGCAGCAGGCGCGAAAACUUUACAAUGCGGGCAACCGUGAUAAGGGAACCUCGAGUGCCUGUAUAUGCAGGCUGUCCAGGUGUCUAAAGCACACCUGAAGAAAGGGCCGGGCAAGACCGGUGCCAGCCGCCGCGGUAAUACCGGCGGCUCGAGUGGUGGCCACUUUUAUUGGGCUUAAAGCGUUCGUAGCUGGGUUAUUAAGUCCCUUGGGAAAUCCGACAGCUUAACUGUCGGGCGUCUAAGAGAUACUGGUAAUCUUGGAACCGGGAGAGGUGAGGGGUACUUCGGGGGUAGGAGUGAAAUCCUGUAAUCCUCGAGGGACCACCUGUGGCGAAGGCGCCUCACCAGAACGGCUUCGACAGUGAGGGACGAAAGCUGGGGGAGCAAACCGGAUUAGAUACCCGGGUAGUCCCAGCCGUAAACGAUGUGCGUUAGGUGU
rnacentral:rRNA from 1 species